rnacentral:snRNA from 1 species
GAUUAACGGAUCUGAUUGU